CACAGCUGUCCGUGAACCACCUACUGUAACAGCUGGCUAGACACCACAGCCCUGCGGCCCUGCAGCCCAGCCACGUCUUUUUAGCUUCACCUCGACGGCCUUGCUCUUGACCUGAAAUCACCAUCACCUUAAUGGGCUAGAAAAGGUUUCCCCACUGCGAGCCCUUCGAGAACAAUGUCAUGUUGAUCGAUGGCAGUGACUCACACCAGAUCUUUCCAUGCCUCCUCUGCAAGGACUCAAGAGAGUCGAGAGCAAAACCGUGCCAUAGUUCCAUAAGGAGGGCAAAGAGCUUUAUCCACGCUGAGGAACAGGCGGAUCAUGCGGCUACAGCACUGGUCUUUACCUUUUAACUGCUUGAUUCGAAACAUUCCAGCCAGGAACAGUGGCUCACACCUGUAAUCCCAGCACUUUGUGGGGCCAAGGCAGGUGGAUUGCUCGAGCUCAGGAGUUCGAAACCAGCCUGGGCAACCUGGCAAAACCUCAUCUCUACAAAAAAAUACAAAAAUUAGCCAGGCCUGGUGUGUGUGCCUGUGGUUCCAGCCACUCGGCAGGCUGCGGCCAGAGGAUCACUUGAGCCCAGGAAGUGGAGGCUGCAGUGAGCUGAGAUCGUGCCGCCACACUCCAGCCUGGGUGACAGAGCCAGACAUUGUCUCUAAAAAAAAAAAAAAAAGAAAAGA
rnacentral:lncRNA from 1 species